rnacentral:misc_RNA from 1 species
GAUGAAGAACGCAGCAAAAUGCGAUACUUGGUGUGAAUUGCAGAAUCCCGUGAACCAUCGAGUUUUUGAACGCAAGUUGCGCCCGAAGCCUUUUGGCCGAGGGCACGUCUGCCUGGUCGUCACGCAUCGCGUCGCCCCCCACAAUUCUCCGUAAAGGGAACGUGUGUUUUGGGGGCGGAUAUUGGUCUCCCGUGCUCAUGGCGUGGUUGGCCGAAAUAGGAGUCCUUUCGAUGGACGCACGAACUAGUGGUGGUCGUAAAAACCCUCGUCUUUUGUUUCGUGCUGUUGCUCGCAAGGUAAACUCUUUAAAAACCCCAAUGUGUCGUCUCUUGACGACGCUUCGACCGCGACCCCAGGUCAGGCGGGACUACCCGCUGAGUUUAAGCAUAUCAAUAAGCGGAGGA